rnacentral:lncRNA from 1 species
AUCUCAGACUGCUGUGCUAGCAAUCAGCGAGACUCUGUGGGCGUAGGACCCUCCAAGCCAUGUGCAGGAUAUAAUCUCCUGGUGCGCCGUUUUUUAAGCCCGUCGGAAAAGCGCAGUAUUGGGGUGGGAGUGACCCAAUUUUCCGUCUACAUUUCCAUAUAAAUUUGGGAAUCAAACAAAAGGCAGCAGAAACCUCUGCAGACUUAAAUGUCCCUGUCUGACAGCUUUGAAGAGAGUAGUGGUUCUCCCAGCACGGAGUUUGAGAUCUGAGAACGGACAGACUACCUCCUCAAGUGGGUCCCUGACCCCCGAGUAGCCUGUGAGGCACCGCCCAGUAGGGGCAGACUGACACCUCACACAGCCGGGUACCCCUCUGAGACAAAGCUUCCAGCGGAAUGAUCAGGCAGCAACAUUUGCUGUUCAGCAACAUUCGUUGUUCUGCAGCCCCCGCUGCUGAUAUCCAGGCAAACAGGGUCCGGAGUGGACCUCCAGCAAACUCCAACAGACCUGCAGCUGCGGGUCCUGACUGUUAGAAGGAAAACUAACAAACAGAAA